rnacentral:lncRNA from 1 species
CCUCGGUAAAGUAACUAAUACCAGUCUCGAUCUCCUCUAGGGCAAAAUAUAAGUAAAUUAGUCCUUCUAUCCCGAAUUGCUAGUCUUACUCUUUUACCUUCUUCUCAGAUUUCACUAGUCUCAGGGACAUCUCUUUACAUCCGGCCAUUCCUUCUUACCUUAUUAAUGAACUCCUAAUGCCGAGAUAAGGCAUUGGUAUGUAUUAUUUGGUUUUGCCUGCAAGGGUAUAAGAAGAAGUAAGGAAAAGCCCUCUAGAUGGUACAAAGAAGAUAGCUCAGACAUACAUCCAAUCUAUAUACAGCGUGAUCCGUGUUAUGAUAGAAGUAUAAGUUGUUUAUACUUAAAAUAUGGGCCUCUUUUUCUCUCCCUCGAUAUAAGGAAGCAAAAAAGGAUCGCGUGUAGGCAUCCAACUGAUAUUUUGAUAUAGAAAGAUCUUACCCAAGACGAUCAUCCGGGUAGUAGGAUUGGGCCUGCAGUGGUAGAACCUGCUUUGAUAGAAAAUAGGAUCAAAGCCACUUCACUUCCUCUGCUUUUCUUUCUGGAUACCAAAGGGUUCAGGGGCAUAGCCUAGCACGAUUACUACAUAGAAAGAAUUUUGCUUGCUCGGGCGUACUUCAUGCUUACACCUAAAGGUGUCCCCACCCCUGUUCUAUUCCUUUUUUUGUUCGGAUCAGACGGUGGUGAGCAAUCGAUCGAGAGCAAGGGAUGCUAGCGCUCUGAUCCUC